AUGCCUACUACACAUGUUGCUGAGUGCUCCUUGGAGCCAGUUUCUGCCUCAUUAAGAUUACGAACAAGUAUGCAAACCAGUGGGACUGGGACGGUGGCUGGACUGGCGGGGAUGCUGUGCCUGCCAUCAUCGAUUUUCUCCAGCUCCAUCCAGCCCACAAUCUGUGGCUCCUUCGCUGUAACAGGGUGCAGUGAGGGGUCGUGCCCAGGGCAGUUUGUUUCCUCCCCUCAAAUCCUCGAUUUCCUUUUUAGAAGUAGCUGGCUCCCACCUGACUCACAGAAGACAGCGCCUCAGAGAAAUUCGCUCUUAGGCUCAACUUCAUCACGCUCAUUUUCACGGGGGUCUCUGCCUCACGAGACAGAGGAGGCUCCCUUUUCACCUGGGUCCACACCUGAUUGUAAAGCCUUUCUUUCUGAUCACUUGCUUGUAGCUGUAUUUAAAGCCAACCUGAAAAACGUGGGAGUUUUUUGGAUUUUUUUUUUUUUUUUUGAAGGUUCUGCCUCUUGUGGCCUGAAAAAAAUCUUCUGUUCCUGCUCACGUGAAUUUUCUUUCCACUCUGGGAGCCGCAAAGCAGAAUUAUAUUCCUUAGUCAAACAGAAGAAUAGAGGAUUCAUUAUGUUGGUUCUUCAAAACAGGAAGCUGGGAAUAGCUCAAAAGAUGGGCUUGUCCUGAAUUCCAGGGAUCUUACUGAUGUCAGGCUUGGUCUGCGUUUGACGCUGUCACCCUCGGAUGGACAAGGUUAGAUCUUCUAUCUUCAGCUGAAACGCUGUGGUACAGGACAGUUCCGGGAGGUUCCUGCAAUAGCUGCCCAGGCCAGCAUCGCAGGUGUGCAAACGCAGGAAGAACGCUCUCUCCAGCCAUGCCAGCCCCCGGCACAACUGCCGUGGCGUGGGCCUGGAGUGUCAGGCGUGGAUUUUCUGCUGCACUGUGGACUGUUCUUGGCCGAGACGUCCUUUGGGCUCUCUAGGUGCAGGACAUUUUCCUAGUGGCAUCCGUGUUGUUCUCCAGCCCUCUGGCCCAUGGGUCCCUCCCCCAGCGAUGCUCUGUCUUACCUGCCACAGGAUUCACUCCUUUGUUCAUUUAUCCCUUCCAUAGCUGAGUGACGAAGAGUGACGGAGGUCCCUGCUCUCACGGACUUGAUAUUCCCGUAAAAGGCAGCAAUUAAUGAAUAAAGCAAACAAAUUACCCCACCAAGUGCAUUUGAGGCAGCUGAUUUGGAAAGUGAUCACUGGGAAGCUCCGCUCACCAGGGGCUUCAGGGUGGGCCCAGGAGCACAGAGAAGGGCAGCCCUGUCUCAGUGCCAGCGCGUCCCUCCCCGCAGCCCUUGUCCCCAGGGCUGACUCGCCGUUCUUCCCAGGCCUUUCCCUCCUGUCCUGGCCAGGUGUUCACAGGCCCCGCCCACAGCCUGGGAAGAGGGCAGCAGUGCGUGGGAACCACAGGACAACGUGCUUGCAGACACCAUCUACACCGCACGGAGCCCAGCCGGGGAGCCCAGCCCCGAUGUUGUGAUCCUUAAGAGAUGCAGCCCGCGUUCAUUGAUUUGAUAUCUGCCCACGGUGUGUCAGACACAGGAGUGUGCACGUGGCUUUCACUAGCAGUGCACUAGUGAAGCAUAACAGGAAAAAUACAACGCCCCAAGACAGCCAGGUAUGCCUGCUACUGUGGAAAUGGCCCCGGGACUGACGAAAGCUAACAGAUGGGGCCUGGAGACAGAAAUUCACAGCAGAGGGCGCAUGCUACAGUCUCGUCCCUCAUUAUGCUUUAGUUAGGGGUUUGUCUUAGUUUUUCUGUUGCGUAACGGGAUACAUGAAACUGAGUGAUUUAUAAAGAACAGAGUUCCAUUUAGCCCACAGUUCCAGAUGCUCAAAGUACAAGAGUGUGGCGCUGGCAUCACACUUGGGUAUCUGCCCAAAGCCACAUUCCGCACAAACAAACAAGGCCAGUAGGGUGUUUGCCUAACCUCUGCCAGGCCCCAGGUUCAACCCCCAGCACCACCAAAAAAGAAAAAAGGCCUCAACAAUAUAAAGGGAAGUAAAUGCAAUGCAAUAUGAGGAACCAAAGGACAGCAACUCAUAUAUUCCAAAGAACUAAGACAUUUGACAAAUCAUCGAGGGAAACCUCUUCCCGAGGGACGAGGAAAAGGAGGGCCAGGUUGUGCCUUGAUCUUUGGAAAGGGGCUGUGCUCCGGGGUCCUGAUCUUCAAAAUGAGGCUGGAAUUAACACCCACCUCCCAGAGCUGCCGUGGAAAUAAAUGCAGGAUAAUCUCUGCCCAGAGCUGAACCAGCGCCUAGUAUAAAAUGAGCACUCAGUUACAGUCUGCUGUGAUUACAACGGCCUUAUCAUCACCGCGGCCAGCACGCCGAGGCAAGUGUGGGCCAGACCCAGAGUGUCCUUGGUUCUGAUCACGCUUUGGGUAUCAGACAGCUUCUCCUUGCACGAGUGACUCGAGAGCAGGGG
ensembl:lincRNA